GUGACAGUUUAUCUAUCCAGUUGCAAUAGAGAAUGAAAUGACGCUAUUUUCUGAUAGCCAAUGAAUUUCUGAAAAGACUGAAAUGCAGCUUUAGUGGCUGGAAUCAUCCGAUUACGUUAUAUUUCAUGCGUAAAGCGAAAGUGAUCCUCUGCGCGUUUGUGCGUAAACACAACAUUGAACGCGUUGGUGAGUGAAAGGAGGUAACAGAUGUGAAAUGGCAAAGAUAAUUAGAAAGACGCACUUAUUACUCGAAGAAGUGAUUGAACAGUGUAUUCUCCGUGACCGUGGUGAGUGGGAGGACAUUUGUGAGCAAGAGAGCAAUCGAUGUUGUUGUCUGGUUAGCACUAGCAGAGGACCCUUUUGGAUCAUGGUGGCCACGGCACUCACGUCACGAAAAACCAUCAUCUGAAAAUUAGUGAGUGAAUUCUGGGAGCCAGUCAGAAAAAAACAACAUACUGGAACAGAAUGACAGCACCUUAUCAGGAGAGGAGCCCCAUCAUUUAUCUUUCCAGAGAGGUUCUGCCAGCUAAA